GUGCGUAGGUGGUCUAAUAAGUCAGUGGUGAAAUCUCUUUGCUUAACAAGGAAAUUGCCAUUGAAACUGUUAGACUUGAGAAUGGACGAGGUAGGCGGAAUUCGUAGUGUAGCGGUGAAAUGCAUAGAUAUUACGAAGAACUCCAAUAGUGUAGACUGCUUACCAGACCAUAUCUGACACUAAGGCACGAAAGUGUGGGUAUCAAACAGGAUUAGAUACCCUGGUAGUCCACACAGUAAACGAUGAAUACUAACUGUUUGCGAUAUACAGCAAGUGGUCGAGCGAAAGCGUUAAGUAUUCCACCUGGGAAGUAUGCCGGCAACGGUGAAACUCAAAGGAAUUGACGGGGGCCCGCACAAGCGGAGGAACAUGUGGUUUAAUUCGAUAAUACGCGAGGAACCUUACCCGGGCUCGAACGAUAUUUGAAUACAUCCGAAAAGAUGUAGCUAGCAAUAGCAAAUACCGAGGUGCUGCAUGGUUGUCGUCAGCUCGUGCCGUGAGGUGUCGACUUAAGUGUCAUAACGAGCGCAACCCUUACCGAUAGUUACCAUCAGAUAAUGCUGGGGACUCUAUUGGGACUGCCACCGUAAGGUGUGAGGAAGGAGAGGAUGACGUCAAAUCAGCACGGCCCUUAUGUCCGGGGCGACACACGUGUUACAAUGGGAGAAACAAAGGGUCGCUACCUGGCAACAGGAUGCUAAUCUCGAAAAUCUCUCUCAGUUCGGAUUGGAGUCUGCAACUCGACUCCAUGAAGCUGGAUUCGCUAGUAAUCGCACAUCAGCCAUGGUGCGGUGAAUACGUUCCCGGGCCUUGUACACACCGCCCGUCAAGCCAUGGAAGCUGGAAGUACCUGAAGUAUGUAACUAAAAGAGCGUCCUAAGU
rnacentral:rRNA from 1 species